UCGAGAAUCUUUCACAAUGGGGGCAACCCUGAUGGAGCGACGCCGCGUGGAGGAUAAGGUCUUCGGAUUGUAAACUCCUGUCAUGUGUGAACAAGGCUGUCGCGUUAAUAGCGUGGCAGAUUGAUGGUAACACAAGAGGAAGAGACGGCUAACUCUGUGCCAGCAGCCGCGGUAAUACAGAGGUCUCAAGCGUUGUUCGGAAUCACUGGGCGUAAAGGGUGCGUAGGUGGCGUGGUAAGUCAGAUGUGAAAGCCCGGGGCUCAACCUCGGAAUUGCAUCCGAUACUGCCGUGCUAGAGUACUGAAGAGGUGACUAGAAUUCUCGGUGUAGCAGUGAAAUGCGUAGAUAUCGAGAGGAAUACCAACGGCGAAGGCAGGUCACUGGGCAGUUACUGACACUGAGGCACGAAGGCCAGGGGAGCAAACG
rnacentral:rRNA from 1 species